rnacentral:pre_miRNA from 1 species
AAUACUCAAAUUUGUAUGUAUUUGUAGUUUGCCUACGUUUGCCGCCAGGGGCGCUGUUCCAACUGCAUACAUAUUUGAGUUA